rnacentral:rRNA from 1 species
UACGUAGGAGGCGAGCGUUGUCCGGAUUUACUGGGCGUAAAGAGCUCGUAGGCGGUGUGUCGCGUCGGUCGUGAAAACUUGGGGCUUAACCCUGAGCUUGCGGUCGAUACGGGCAUCACUGGAGUUCGGCAGGGGAGACUGGAAUUCCUGGUGUAGCGGUGAAAUGCGCAGAUAUCAGGAGGAACACCGGUGGCGAAGGCGGGUCUCUGGGCCGAUACUGACGCUGAGGAGCGAAAGCGUGGGGAGCGAACAGG